AGGGUUUGAUUCUGGCUCAGGACGAACGCUGGCGGUGCGCCUUAUGCAUGCAAGUCGAGCGAAGCUUUUCAGUAGUUUACUACAGAAAAUGACUGAGCGGCGAACGGGUGAGUAACGCGUGAGCAACCUACCUUAGUUACUGGGAUAGCCCGAGGAAACUCGGAUUAAUACCGGAUAUUCUUAUUUAAUCACAUGAUUUUUUAAGGAAAGGUCAGCCGAACUAAGAUGGGCUCGCGUUCUAUCAGCUAGUUGGUAGGGUAACGGCCUACCAAGGCUACGACGGAUAGCUGGUCUGAGAGGACGAUCAGCCACACUGGGACUGAGACACGGCCCAGACUCCUACGGGAGGCUGCAGCAGGGAAUAUUGUGCAAUGAACGAAAGUUUGACACAGCGACACCGCGUGUGGGAUGACGGAUCUAGGUUUGUAAACCACUUUCAGGAGGGAAGAAAAUGACGGUACCUCCACAAGAAGCCCCGGCCAACUACGUGCCAGCAGCCGCGGUAAUA
rnacentral:rRNA from 1 species